CUCUCUUCCUGGAAAACAGCAUCUCGGAGCCCAUCCUGGGUGACCACACAGAGAUCACCCUAGUGGCCCAGGCUAGUGACCGGGAACAUGUACCUUCCUGCAGCCAACCCCAGACGUCCACUGAUUCAUCAUAUACUGGCAAAGAUCCUGGCCUGGGGGGUCCUUGGCCGCCGGAAAUUCACCAGAUGUUGGACUCCAGGUGACAUUUUAGGUUAUUGGGUCACAGAUUGCUGGCACACUCAUCCCUGUUCUCAAACAACUUUUAAACUUGGGCAAAGUGAUAAGUAGGGGAAGAAGAUGAUUUACUGAAAGAGUCUUCCGAGAAGAGAUUCAGACUGAACAGUUUGGGUCAGACUUUGGAAGACCGCUGGUGCCCAAGGUGUUAUC